CCCUUAGAUGUUCUGGGCUGCACGCGCGCUACACUGAAGCUAUCAACACGUUUUCCCUCCCUGAGAAGGGCGGGUAACCUUUUGAAUCAGCUUCGUGGUAGGGAUCGGGGCUUGCAAUUGUUCCCCGUGAACCAGGAAUUCCUAGUAGACGCGAGUCAUAAGCUCGCAUCGAUUAAGUCCCUGCCCUUUGUACACACCGCCCGUCGCUACUACCGAUUGAACGUUUUAGUGAGGCAUUUGGACUGACGCAUCUCAGUUUAACCGCUGGUUUGUGUUGGAAAGACUUCCAAACUUGAGCGUUUAGAGGAAGUAAAAGUCGUAACA
rnacentral:rRNA from 1 species